CCCUUAGACGUCCGGGGCUGCACGCGCGCUACACUGACUGGCUCAGCGUGUGCCUACCCUACGCCGGCAGGCGCGGGUAACCCGUUGAACCCCAUUCGUGAUGGGGAUCGGGGAUUGCAAUUAUUCCCCAUGAACGAGGAAUUCCCAGUAAGUGCGGGUCAUAAGCUUGCGUUGAUUAAGUCCCUGCCCUUUGUACACACCGCCCGUCGCUACUACCGAUUGGAUGGUUUAGUGAGGCCCUCGGAUCGGCCCCGCCGGGGUCGGCCCACGGCCCUGGCGGAGCGCUGAGAAGACGGUCGAACUUGACUAUCUAGAGGAAGUAAAAGUCGUAACA
rnacentral:rRNA from 1 species